rnacentral:lncRNA from 1 species
GAUACCAGAGAUGUUCGGGUCUAUUAAGACCACGCUGAUUGAGACCUUUGACGAGCGUUAUGCCGCUCUUUCUGAGGCUGCUGUUGCAGCGGCCACCGCAGCUAUUGCUGUCGCGAGGCCGCAAGGUGGUGAUGCGUUGCUGUUCCGGGAGUUCAGCAACACAAAACCACCAGAGUUUGAUGGAACUCAGGAUCCGGUGGCAGCUAUGAGGUGGAAAUUAGUUCAGCAACACAAAACCACCAGAGUUUGAUGGAACUCAGGAUCCGGUGGCAGCUAUGAGGUGGAAAUUUGAUAUAGAGGGGUGUUUCUUC